CCGGGGGCGAGAUUGUUCAGAUAGUACUUUAUUCUCGUGUACCGCUGACUAAAAAGCGUCAUUGAUUAAAAACUGAAAAUGCAAAUGUCAAUGAUUCAUAGCAUUUAAGACAGGUCUGGACGUCCUCAGUGCCUUUGCUUAAAGACUUCAAGCUCAGACUGCAGGCACGGUCACAUUGCAUAAGCUGUCACGUGCCUGCUGUAACUGUAUGCACGUUAUUGAAUUUUUUAGAGCAACCCAUAAUGAUGAAUAAUUUAAGAGUUAAUAAAAUAUUCAACCUGACUGAUCCAUUGGUUUAAUUUUAAAAUAAAGAUGACUAAUAAAAGGAGUUACAUAUCCUUAUCAAAUUCCAGGAACGAAUGCAUGUCAAUUGCAAACUGCAACCCAAGCAGAGGGAAAACACCAAUUUCUGUAAGACAUGAGCUGUAGAGGGUGCAGGGGGCGCGGGGCGGGGACGUUCUCUGAUUUAAGGAGGGCUCCACUAAGUUUGCGCCGAGUUAACUGUUUGUGGGGUGCUGGCCAGGCUGUACUCAGCCUUCCGCGGAGCUGAGAGAAAAACAAUUGGACAGAUGCAAGUUUGACAAUGGCGCUCAUGCAGAACCGGUCCUCUGCCCACGGGCCGGCUGGGAGAGGGAGACCUGAGGAGGACGUGCAGCUCCGGGCUGCCCAGCUUUGUGCAGGAGGCCUCGGGAUUUCCGGGGAGCCCGAGGACGCGCUACUCCUCUCGCCCUGCGCCCGGCUCCUGCGGCUGGGACCCCGCACCGGGAGGGUGCAGGGCCACAAGAUGGAAGGAAAAUGAACAAAGGGAGCACAGUUAGCCACUUGACGCUGAGGACAACUUCAUUUUCAACUCCCACCUUUAUUCUGGUGGGCGGCAGAGCAGUGGCCUGAGCUGCCUGGGAGCUGUACCAGGGGCACACAAGGAGAAAUCAAAACGGGUUUGCAAAGCAAGGGUGGUUGGAACCUUUUCACAGCGGGGGGCCG
rnacentral:lncRNA from 1 species